AGGAGCUUGCUCCUUUGACGUUAGCGGCGGACGGGUGAGUAACACGUGGGCAACCUACCUUAUAGUUUGGGAUAACUCCGGGAAACCGGGGCUAAUACCGAAUAAUCUGUUUCACCUCAUGGUGAAAUAUUGAAAGACGGUUUCGGCUGUCGCUAUAGGAUGGGCCCGCGGCGCAUUAGCUAGUUGGUGAGGUAACGGCUCACCAAGGCGACGAUGCGUAGCCGACCUGAGAGGGUGAUCGGCCACACUGGGACUGAGACACGGCCCAGACUCCUACGGGAGGCAGCAGUAGGGAAUCUUCCACAAUGGGCGAAAGCCUGAUGGAGCAACGCCGCGUGAGUGAAGAAGGAUUUCGGUUCGUAAAACUCUGUUGUAAGGGAAGAACAAGUACAGUAGUAACUGGCUGUACCUUGACGGUACCUUAUUAGAAAGCCACGGCUAACUACGUGCCAGCAGCCGCGGUAAUACGUAGGUGGCAAGCGUUGUCCGGAAUUAUUGGGCGUAAAGCGCGCGCAGGUGGUUUCUUAAGUCUGAUGUGAAAGCCCACGGCUCAACCGUGGAGGGUCAUUGGAAACUGGGAGACUUGAGUGCAGAAGAGGAUAGUGGAAUUCCAAGUGUAGCGGUGAAAUGCGUAGAGAUUUGGAGGAACACCAGUGGCGAAUGCGACUAUCUGGUCUGUAACUGACACUGAAGCGCGAAAGCGUGAGGGAGCAAACAGGAU
rnacentral:rRNA from 1 species